CCUCUCCCUCUCCCUCUCCCUCUCUCUCUCAGUCAACACAUCACCCUCUUAUCCCUUUCUCCAGUCAUCUUCUCAAUCAAUGCUCACUGGACCCCACCACACUUCUCAAAAGUCCAGCUAAACCCCUAUAUCUCUCUCUCCGCCACCUCCUCCACACUGCACCCUUUCUCCCUCUUUCUCUCGCCUUCCUCCACCACUUGUCCCUCCCCCACCACCUCCACCACCAGCAGCACCAAUAAUCUAUCCACCCAACCACCUCUUCCAUUACCCAAAAAAGAUCUUGUAAAAGAUCUCCUCAGUCUUCACUCUCUCUCUCUUCCCUGUUAUGCUCAUGGACUUCUGAUUCCCACCACCCACCUCUCAAAGCCCUCCUCCUCUCUUCCCGUCUUCGCCUUUUCUUCAAAACCCGUAAACAUGGAGAACUAUACCUAUAAUUCAUACCCAGAUUCCGGCCACUCUUCUCCUCGAUCCCGUGAAAUUGAGUUCGAGAACCCUACGCCGUGGGAGGACCAAUCCCAGCAGCAGGCUCAGGAUUGUAAAGCUAAGUUUAUGUGCAGCUAUGGUGGCAAGAUCCACCCUCGUCCUCAUGAUAAUCAGCUCUCAUAUAUUGGCGGCGAGACCAAAAUUCUCGCCGUUGAUCGGAAUAUCAAGUUCUCCAUCAUGAUCGGUAAGCUUGCUGCCCUUUGUGGAGAUACUGAUAUUUCUUUCAAGUAUCAGCUCCCAGGUGAAGAUCUUGAUGCUUUGAUUUCUGUUACUAAUGAUGAUGAUCUCGAACACAUGAUGCAUGAGUAUGAUCGUCUUUAUCGAGCUUCCGCUAAACCUGCUCGUAUGCGGCUUUUCUUAUUCCCGGUCAAUCCUUCUCCGGCAAGUUUUGGGUCUGAAGGAUCCAAAUCGGAAAGGGACCGUUUCGUUGAGGCCUUGAAUUCUGGUCCUAGUCACGUUCCUGAGACCAACAAACCGGCGCCGAAUAAUGUUGAUUUCUUGUUCGGGUUAGACAAGGGUGUUCCUCCGCCGCCGGCGCCGGUCAAAGUGCCUGAUUUACCAGAAACUUAUGUCGGGGUGGGUCACGAUGAUCGGGUUAUAGGAUCGGAUCCUUUGAACGUACAGACCCAGUUGCAGAGGAUGCAGAUUAGAGAACAGGAGCAGCAGACUAUGUAUAGGAAAAACAGUGAUGACAAUUUGGUGGGUGGUUACCCUGGCGAGUACUACGUUCAAAAAUUGCCUGAUAAACUUCCUCCGGCGACGUUGCCUGUUACAGUCAACCCAGCGGUGACUACUCCUGCUGGAUAUUGGCCUGAGAAACAGUUUACCAGUCAGGGAUACCAGCCGGCGGCGGUGACUGUAACUACCACACCGGCUCCACCGGAACAACAACAGGUUUACGUGCUACAAGGUCCAGCUCCGGGCACAGUUUAUCACACUCCAGUAAUGCGACCUGUCACCGGCCAAACAGGUCAACAAUAUUACAUGCCGAGGAUGGGAGGACCCGAUGUUUACCGGGAGCCACCGCCACCAAUGUACAAUAUGGUCCCACAACCGCAACAACCGCCACCUCCAAUAUCUGCAGCGCCGGGGCCCGUGGGGGUCGUGAGGCCAAGUGGGGCGGGAGUGGGGGUGACGGAUACUGGUUACGCAACAGUGGCGUAUGAUAGCGCACAUGGGAGGCAGGUGUACUACACUGCGCAGGGAGGUGUAAUGCAGGCACCUCCUCCGUACCAGGGGGUUGGUGGGGUGGCAGUUACCGGUGAAAUGAGACACGUUGGUGGUGGUGGUGGCGCUCUGACUCAGGAUGGUAAGGUGUUGGUUUCAAAGGUUCCACAAUCUUCAGUGUGAUUAUGGUAAAUGAAACUAUAAAUAUAUAAUUACCCAUAUUUAGAUGUGCUUCUAAUUUAAGGUUAAUUAUGUGCGUUAAGUUCAAUAUUAUGUGACAAUUGUUGCUUUUUUUCCCCCUUGUAUACAGUGCUUGAGAUCAGAUAAGUCCAUCAUUAUUAGUUUUGUUUGACCUCUAAUCUGUGUUCUUUUUGUUAAUUAGUUAGUUGUUUUAUGUUCUCUGCUAAUUAUCUAGUGGGAUUUAUUCUUCAUCCAAUUUUGUUAAGAUAGCUCUUAGGAUUUGAUAUUGAAACUUAUUAUCAUGUGUAUAUGAGCGUGCUCUUAUGAUAUCCUUUGCGAAUUAGUAGUAUUUUGUGAUUAUUGAUAUAAUCAUUUGGUAUUCGUUUAGGUUUAGUUUAAAUGCUAUGAAUCUUGAUCUGGUUUAUUAGAGUAGUCCUAAUGGUUUGAUUUUGAUUCAAAAAUAGCAACACUAAUGAUUAUGGGUGCAAGGAAGUGCACAUAAUUGUUAGGCAUCUAAUUAUAUGGUUGAUGAGUAAUUGUUGAAAUGUCAACUUAAAUGUUCACGUGGAGGCUAGAAUUCAAUAAUUUUGGAAUAACAAAAUGAUUGGAGCUCCUUUUGUCAUUGUUGAUUGGAUUAUUCCCUCGAAAGCUGGAAACCAUGUGAACAAGAAGAAUAUAUAUCUAGUGCUAAGGUUCCAACUGAAAGGUUUGGAUUAAUAAUGAUGAGCCAGAACUUUAGUUAUGGCAAGAAUACUUGUAAUUGUUGAGACUAUUCAAACUGGAUUUUCCAUAGGCAUAAAGCCCUCUGGAGAUGAUAAGAUAAAGACAUCCUACCACAUCCCAAGUCUAGUAUUAUUAGCGCGGUCACUUUUUCCUGUGGGUUGCAAUUGGUUCUUGCUGAUCUUUGAAUGAUGCGUACUUGUUGGAUUUUUGAGAUUAGGCUCUUGUCAAUAGACUCAAUAAUUUACCUCUCUGUAGGGAUUUGAGAUGUCCUACAGUCUAAAUAUUCCUGACAAUCACUGAUCUGCUAGCUGAUGCCUGGUGGCCAACCCUUUUGAAACAAGUAGAUUUAUAGAUCAAUGCCUUUUCAGAGUGUGUAGUGGUAGGUUUCAAUGGCUUGUUUAGUUUAUUAUAUGUGCAGGGAGAAGUAUAGAAACUGAGAUACAUAAUUAGAUUUUUACUCGUGUUGUGAAUAAAGUUAGGAAUCUUGCAGAUUUUUUCCUCCUGGUUUGCAUCAUUUGCUAUCUUUCAGCCUUAUUUUUUACUCUCAUCAAGUUGUUAUCAUUGACUCUUCUGGUAAGCAUGGUGAUCGUGCUCCUUUUAUUUUAAUUCUUCCAGGAAUAAGGGUGAUGGUCAAGCUUCAUUAACCCCCCUAUUUUUCUUGGAGAAUAUACCUUUUGUCUUCUCUUUAUCAAUGUUGAGAGUUGAUUAGGCUAUAAAUCUUACUUUCUAAUUAUACGGUAGAAAAUGUGGAAUGAGGAAUGAUGGAUUUGUGAUAGAUAAUCAAAGGUCUUGAAAAGAUUCAGUAAUUCAAAGAAUUUUUGGUCUCUUUUGUAAAAGAAAGUAGAGAAUAGGCUGUAAAUAUCUUUAUUCUUCAGAUGAUUUUAUUCAAAGCACUUAGUUGUCAACCUAAUAUCUAUAUGCAUAAUAUCUUUUUUUUCUAAUGCAUAUUAAGAGUGAUUUCAUGCUCUUAAAGUAGGCUUGAGGACAAGAGGUGGACUAGGUAUAGUGUGUGAAAGCAUUGCAAUUAAAGAAAAGAAAACAAAGCUUUAUUUUUUGACUAGGGAGAUCAGGAGAGUGGGGACUUGAAUAUGAGUUUAUUGUACCAAGUCAGGCUAUGCAACAAAGCUUUAUUAUUAUCUAAGAAAACCCAUAUGGGAAAUAGGAUUGAGUUGGAAAAUAGCUAUUAAGAUAAUCCUCAAUUAGAAUGUGAUUGGUAUAAAAAAUCUAAAUGGGAUGGUGAGGCGUGUAAGAUUUGCAUUCCAAUGUCUAUACUCUUUGUAUUGUUGAUGGGACAAGUUUAUAAAAUAAGUUUAUCUUAGCUUAUCAACAAAAAUGAUUAGUCCAACACAUAAUUUGCUGAUUUAAGCAGAUGAUAAAGAGUCUUUGUCCUUCCUAAUAAACAAAUUCAAAUUCUUGCAGAUUCCCAUUCUCGCCCUAACAUUGAAAAAAAAUAUAUGUAUCUUCAUUUGUUGAUUUGCAAAUUAAUAGGAUUGUCCUUUUCAACUUUGUUGUGUGUUAACCUUGAAUUGGUGAGUAUUUAUAGUAUGAUUAAAGUUUAAUAAUUCAUAAUCAAAUGUUGCUACAUCUUUAUUUUUCCCAGCUAAUGUUGUCUGUGGUCGACAGGUGGCAAAGAUUAGUUAGAUGUUGCAUGUGCCUAUCCAAACAAAUCAAAAUUAUAAUAUAAGUAUAUGCAUAUUCACAUCAAAUUAUGUUGUUAUGGACUUUUGAACAAUUACAUUUUAAAAAGGCUGAAUAUACAAUUUUAUAUCUGAACUGUAUUCUAAAAAUGCUGAAUAUACUAUUUUACACAUGAAUUUUAUCAUGUUAAUUCAACUUCUAUAAAUGUGUCAUGAUGUAUUUUCACUCUCAACUCUUGUAAAAUGAAAUUAUGAUAUUUGAAUUUUAGUCAGUUGAUCGUUAUGUCGUAAUUUCACUUCACAAGGGUUGAAGUAUAUUAUGAUGAGAUUUACUUUACAAGGGGUUGAGGUAUAUUAUGAGAAGAAAUUAUUAUUGUGAUUUCAUAUCGGUAGUUAAUAUGGAAUGGCAAAUAUAAAAAUAAAUAGAC
rnacentral:misc_RNA from 1 species